rnacentral:lncRNA from 1 species
CUGGUCUGUCAAUUCUCUCUACUCUACUCCCCUGGUCUGGUCUGUCAAUUCUCUCUACUCUACUCCAUGGUCUGGUCUUGUCAAUCUCUCUACUCUACUCCCCUGGUCUGGUCUGUCAAUCCUCUCUACUCUACUCCUUGGUCUGGUUUGUCAUCCUCUCUACUCUACUCCCUUGGUCUGGUCUGUCAAUCCCUCUCUCUACUCCCUCGGUCUGGUCUGUCAUCCUUCUCUAUUUACUCCCCUGGUCUGGUCUGUCAACCCUCUCUACUCUACUCAUUGGUCUGUGUCUGUCAAUCCUCUCUACUUACUCCUCGGUCUGGUCUGUUCAUCUCUCUUACUCUACUCCCCUGGUCUGGUCUGUCAAUCCUCUCUACUCUACUCCAUUGGUCUGGUCUGUCAAUCCUCUCUACUCUACUCCCUUAGUAUGGUCUGCCUAUCCUGUAAAGUCACACCGCAAACAUUGUAUCUAGUGUUGACACGCGCUUUUAUUCAGCAUUGCUUUUUAUAGCCUAGUUUCGUCCACGUGUCUAUAAUGUAGACAGUUAGCUGAUCCCACGUCAAUCUCCGUUUGCGCUCUCAAUACUGAAACGUUUUGAAACAGCCUGGAAACAGGGGCUCUGCGAGCUCAGAUGUUCCCGCGCUGGCGAUUAUGUCAACCAGUACUGAGAGACGUGAAAAUCCUCUAGCGCCGCAGAGAGACCCAAGCUCCCGCAUCACUGAAGAAAAUCUGGG